AUUGAACGCUGGCGGCAGGCCUAACACAUGCACGUCGAGCGAGCGGCGGACGGGGGUGUAAUAUAUGGGGAACUGCCCGAUAGAGGGGGAUAUCUCCUGGAAACGGUAUCUAAUACCGCAUACGCUCGGAUGUGCCCCUAUGGGAUUAGCUCGUAGGUGGGGUAAAGGCUCACCUAGGCGACGAUCCCUAGCUGGUCUGAGAGGAUGAUCAGCCACACUGGAACUGAGACACGGUCCAGACUCCUACGGGAGGCAGCAGUGGGGAAUAUUGCACAAUGGGCGCAAGCCUGAUGCAGCCAUGCCGCGUGUAUGAAGAAGGCCCUCGGGUUGUAAAGUACUUUCAGCGGGGAGGCGUUACCCGCAGAAGAAGCACCGGCUAACUCCGUGCCAGCAGCCGCGGUAAUUC
rnacentral:rRNA from 1 species